UACAGAGGGGGCAAGCGUUGUUCGGAAUUACUGGGCGUAAAGGGCGCGUAGGCGGCCUGUUAAGUCGAACGUGAAAUCCCUGGGCUCAACCCAGGAACUGCGUCCGAUACUGGCAGGCUUGAAUCCGGGAGAGGGAUGCGGAAUUCCAGGUGUAGCGGUGAAAUGCGUAGAGAUCGGGUGGAACACCAGAGGCGAAGGCGGCAUCCUGGCAACAUACUGACGUUGAGGCGCGAGAGCGUGGGGAGCAAACGGG
rnacentral:rRNA from 1 species